rnacentral:rRNA from 1 species
ACGAACGCUGGCGGCGUGCUUAACCCAUGCAAGUCGAACGGAAAGGCCCUGCUUUUGUGGGGUGCUCGAGUGGCGAACGGGUGAGUAACACGUGAGUAACCUGCCCUUGACUUUGGGAUAACUUCAGGAAACUGGGGCUAAUACCGGAUAGGAGCUCCUGCUGCAUGGUGGGGGUUGGAAAGUUUCGGCGGUUGGGGAUGGACUCGCGGCUUAUCAGCUUGUUGGUGGGGUAGUGGCUUACCAAGGCUUUGACGGGUAGCCGGCCUGAGAGGGUGACCGGCCACAUUGGGACUGAGAUACGGCCCAGACUCCUACGGGAGGCAGCAGUGGGGAAUAUUGCUCAAUGGGCGGAAGCCUGAUGCAGCAACGCCGCGUGCGGGAUGACGGCCUUCGGGUUGUAAACCGCUUUCGCCUGUGACGAAGCGUGAGUGACGGUAAUGGGUAAAGAAGCACCGGCUAACUACGUG